AGAAAAAAGCCACUAGAUUAGCUGAACUUGAAUCUCAUUAUGACGACGUUCACCGCCAUCUACAGGAAGCUAAUGAACUUUUAGCUUCGUCACAGCGUACAUGUAAGACCCUGCAGGAAGAAGUUAACAAUUUAAAGCGUGUUAUGGACUAUGGAUCCAACAGUUGCAAGUAAUUUAAUCAUCCUCACCCUGUGAAGCUUCGAGCCAAACACCCUUACGAGUGGACGCUAUCGACCCCGUGAAUUGAUAAAUUAGUUUUAGGACUUCCGAUUUUAAAUUUCUUUUGUGACGUGUAAAACAUCCGACUGGCUGUUUUUUCUUUCUGCAUGUUUUAGGGUUAAGCUUUCACUACUUACACAGUAUGAUCACAUGUAGUAUUCGAGUUAAGAGAAAUAAAAGAUGCAGUAAAAACUGUC